AGCUCGGCCGGCGCAGCAGCUGCGCGGCGGAAAUCAGCCGCCUGGGAUCACGUGGGCCUAACCCGGCUCCCUGCUGCUUUAAACCCCAAGGCCCCUGCUCCAGCCUCAGGCCCCCGGCCCGCCCAUCUUUUUCGAGUUCUCACUGGGUCCCUCCAACCCCCAUUCUCGUCCCGAGCGGAAUGUCCCACAGCGAGCGGAGACCGUCAGGGCUGGAAGGGACCGCAAAAAUCCUCAGAUACUUACACAUGAGUGUAUAAAACGUGUGUGUGCAGUGGGAAAAGUUAUACAGCAAACACCCUCGGAACCACCACCCAGAUCAAGAAGUGGAACAUUUCAAGUACAAAACUACUGCUCCCCUAUGGCCCAGCACCCUCACUUCCAGAAACACAAGCAAAAACAUGUACAAGGAUCUUCGCGGAAACACGUUCUGAAGAGCAAAAACCAAAAUAAAAGGAGUCGGCAGUGUGCUGGCACCUACACGAAUGACUGUGCUUAAUCCCCACGCCCCGGCUGCGGAUGAGGUGGGGAAGACGGCGGCUGAGGCUCUGCCACAACAGCUUGCCUGGUGGGAUGGGGGGCAGGGGCCCUAGCUGGCCUGACUCAAGGUUUCUUUAUUUUGGUCCUUUGUAUAAAAAUAAAAAAUCUUCAAGUGUU